GUUAGGAAGUGUCCCAAAUUCCUAAUUAGUAUAGAUUCCUUUUUUUGUAAAGAAUAUUAUAUAGAAUAUUUCUAGGUUGAUAUAUUAUUGUAAUAUUAGACUUCCUUAUAGAAUAAGGAAGGUUGUUGGAAAUAUCUCUAUAAAUAUUCUAGGUCAUGAGGGAAAAAAGUUAUGAGAUGGAGAUGGGCCUAUAGAGACUAUACGAGGUGGAUAGAGAUGUGAGGAAGAACGGGAGGUACCUGGUGGAGCGAGAGGGCUCGUAGUAAGGUAUGGAUACAAGGAGUGGGGAAACAUGGGAUGUUUCGGGAACCCAAUAGUUGUAUCUGGUUCUAUCCUCUGUAAUAUUCUUUAUUGUAUAGUGGAAUUAUUCUCUCUCAUCCGUGGACGUAGGCAUGGUUGGCCGAACCACGUUAAAACCUCGUGUACCGUAUGUGUGAUUGUUUUAUCUUUGUGUUCUUGAACUAACAUUGUUGACAUCAAAGCUUUCGUUGGCACAACAACUGGUAUCAGAGCUUGGGUUGAAGAUUUCUGGAAGAGUAAAAGAUCACAAAGCACACAAGAUGAAAACAAAAGGAAUUUUCACUGAAGGUGGAGUCGAUUGCUCUUUCGUGGUGAUAUGAUACAAAAAGGUUUGUGUCAUGGAGAGAUUGAAGAUUAACUUCAUGUAAUUUGGUCCAAGGUGGAGAUUGUUAGGAAGUGUCCCAAAUUCCUAAUUAGUAUAGAUUCCUUUUUUUGUAAAGAAUAUUAUAUAGAAUAUUUUUAGGUUGAUAUAUUAUUGUAAUAUUAGACUUCCUUAUAGAAUAAGGAAGGUUGUUGGAAAUAUCUCUAUAAAUAUUCUAGGUCAUGAGGGGAAAAAGUCAUGAGAUGGAGAUGGACCUAUAGAGACUAUACGAGGUGGAUAGAGAUGUGAGGAAGAACGGGAGGUACCUGGUGGAGCGAGAUGACUCGUAGUAAGGUAUGGAUACAAGGAGUGGGGAAACAUGGGAUGUUUCGGGAACCCAAUAGUUGUAUCUGGUUCUAUCCUCUGUAAUAUUCUUUAUUGUAUAGUGGAAUUAUUCUCUCUCAUCCGUGGACGUAGGCAUGGUUGGCCGAACCACGUUAAAAC
rnacentral:lncRNA from 1 species